CUACGGGCUGCAGCAGUGGGGAAUCUUGGACAAUGGGCGCAAGCCUGAUCCAGCCAUGCCGCGUGAGUGAAGAAGGCCUUAGGGUCGUAAAGCUCUUUCGCCAGAGAUGAUAAUGACAGUAUCUGGUAAAGAAACCCCGGCUAACUCCGUGCCAGCAGCCGCGGUAAUACGGAGGGGGUUAGCGUUGUUCGGAAUUACUGGUCGUAAAGCGCGCGUAGGCGGAUUAGUCAGUCAGAGGUGAAAUCCCAGGGCUCAACCCUGGAACUGCCUUUGAUACUGCUAGUCUUGAGUUCGAGAGAGGUGAGUGGAAUUCCGAGUGUAGAGGUGAAAUUCGUAGAUAUUCGGAGGAACACCAGUGGCGAAGGCGGCUCACUGGCUCGAUACUGACGCUGAGGUGCGAAAGUGUGGGGGGCAAACAGGAUUAGAUACCCCGGUAGUC
rnacentral:rRNA from 1 species